rnacentral:rRNA from 1 species
UACAGAGGGUGCAAGCGUUAAUCGGAAUUACUGGGCGUAAAGGGUGCGUAGGUGGACGCAUAAGUCGGAUGUGAAAUCCCUGGGCUUAACCUAGGAACUGCAUUCGAAACUGUGAGUCUAGAGUAUGGUAGAGGUAAGUGGAAUUUCCGGUGUAGCGGUGAAAUGCGUAGAUAUCGGAAGGAACAUCAGUGGCGAAGGCGACUUACUGGACUGAUACUGACACUGAGGCACGAAAGCGUGGGGAGCAAAC